rnacentral:rRNA from 1 species
AAUGAACGUUGGCGGCGUGGAUUAGGCAUGCAAGUCGAGCGAGAACCGUAGCAAUACGGGGACAGCGGCGUAAGGGAGAGUAACGGGUGGGUACCUACCCUCGGAUCUGGGAUAGCCACGGGAAACUGUGGGUAAUACCAGAUGAUGUCUUCGGACCAAAGGUGUGAUUCCGUCCGAGGAGGGGCCCGCUUCCUAUUAGCUAGUUGGUAGGGUGACGGCCUACCAAGGCUUUGAUGGGUAUGGGGUGUGAGAGCAUGACCCCACUCACUGGGACUGAGACACUGCCCAGACACCUACGGGUGGCUGCAGUCGAGGAUCUUCGGCAAUGGGCGAAAGCCUGACCGAGCGACGCCGCGUGCGGGAUGAAGGCCUUCGGGUUGUAAACCGCCGUCGGAGGGGAGGAAAUUCCAGGGGGUUCUCCCCC